rnacentral:rRNA from 1 species
UACGUAGGGGGCAAGCGUUGUCCGGAAUCAUUGGGCGUAAAGCGCGUGUAGGCGGCCAGAAAAGUCCGCUGUGAAAACUCGAGGCUACAACUUCGAGCUGUCGGUGGAAACUUUCUGGCUAGAGUCCGGAAGAGGAGAAUGGAAUUCCUGGUGUAGCGGUGAAAUGCGCAGAUAUCAGGAGGAACACCAAUGGCGAAGGCAGCUCGCUGGAACGGUACUGACGCUGUGGCGCGAAAGCGUGGGAGCAAACAGG